rnacentral:rRNA from 1 species
AAUGAUUAGUGGCGGACGGGUGAGUAACAUUUAGGAAUCUGCCUAGUAGUGGGGGAUAGCUCGGGGAAACUCGAAUUAAUACCGCAUACGACCUACGGGUGAAAGGGGGCGCAAGCUCUUGCUAUUAGAUGAGCCUAAAUCAGAUUAGCUAGUUGGUGGGGUAAAGGCCCACCAAGGCGACGAUCUGUAACUGGUCUGAGAGGAUGAUCAGUCACACCGGAACUGAGACACGGUCCGGACUCCUACGGGAGGCAGCAGUGGGGAAUAUUGGACAAUGGGGGCAACCCUGAUCCAGCCAUGCCGCGUGUGUGAAGAAGGCCUUUUGGUUGUAAAGCACUUUAAGCAGGGAGGAGAGGCUAAUGGUUAAUACCCAUUAGAUUAGACGUUACCUGCAGAAUAAGCACCGGCUAACUCUGUGCCAGCAGCCGCGGUAAUACAGAGGGUGCGAGCGUUAAUCGGAAUUACUGGGCGUAAAGCGAGUGUAGGUGGCUCAUUAAGUCACAUGUGAAAUCCCCGGGCUUAACCUGGGAACUGCAUGUGAUACUGGUGGUGCUAGAAUAUGUGAGAGGGAAGUAGAAUUCCAGGUGUAGCGGUGAAAUGCGUAGAGAUCUGGAGGAAUACCGAUGGCGAAGGCAGCUUCCUGGCAUAAUAUUGACACUGAGAUUCGAAAGCGUGGGUAGCAAACAGGAUUAGAUACCCU